rnacentral:SRP_RNA from 1 species
GCCAGGCAUGGUGGUGCAUGCCUGUAAUCCCAGCUACUCAGGAGGCUGAGGCAGGAGAAUUGCUUGAACCUGGGAGGCAGAGGUUGCAGUGAGCCGAGAUCUUGCCACUGCACUCCAGCCUGGGUGACAGAGCGAGACUCUGUCUCAA